AACAUUAGUCUAAUUUCUCAAGCACUAUAAGCAGGGUAGCACUAAUACUAGUACUAGUACUAGUUAGUAACCAAACAUUUAGAGUUUAUACUGAUUUUUUGUAAAUUCCCACUUGUUCUUUGAGUGCUGAUUUUUUGUAAAUUCCCACUUGCUGUCUUGCACCUUCUUUGAGUGCUGAUUUUUUUUGUGUAACUGUAUUGCUAUUUUCAUUGUAAAUUCCCACUUGUUCUUUUCUUUUUUGCUUGUGUAUUUGCCUAAUUUUAAUUACUCUUGUUUAUUUUGAAGGAUUAGAAUUGCAAUCAGUGUAUCCUGCGUGGGAAUCGGAAAAUUGCAGAGGAGCAAGUGCCACGGCUGUAGCUCGUAGUCAUAGGCAAAGUUACUUGGUUGAUUUGUUGUAUCAAUUUGGCAAAAAGGUAUGGACCGUAAAUGGAUGUUUGCUAAUCGCUUAUCCGAUGAAUAUGCUGCCGGGGUGAAAGAGUUUGUUAAAUUUGCGGUUCAAAAUGCAAAGAACCCAAAUAGUUUGCUAUGCCCUUGUUUAGUUUGUUUGCAUGGUAUUCGAGUUAAUCCACUUGAAUUAGAAGAUCAUCUAAUUUGCAAGGGAAUUGAUAAAAACUAUAUAUGUUGGUCAAAUCAUGGCGAGUCCAGAUUUGAUUAUAGUGAUGCAGCAGAUAGUGUGAGAUCUACCUCAUUUGGAGCAGAGGAAGAUGCAUGUGAUGGUGACCGUGUUGAGGAAAUGGCGAAGGCGGUUGAAGAUGAUCUUCGUGAUUGUCCUCAAAUGUUUGAGAGGCUGAAAAAUGAUGCGGGGACAUCUCUUUAUAAUGGAUGCUCUAAAUUCACAAGACUAUCUGCGGUCUUUAUAUGAGGUUCUUAUUUGAUCACUGUGUGGCUGAAAACUUGAGUGAGAAAUUUGCCUUUUUGAGUCCUCAUCGAACGGCACAUGGGCUGACCAAUCAAAGCCAAUAUAUUUCGGAUGCAAUUAUGGCAAAUGCACACCCAAACCAAUUAUAUCUUGCACCGGUCAAU